rnacentral:miRNA from 1 species
AGGAUACAUUCAGUAUACGUUUA